AUUGAACGCUGGCGGCAGGCUUAACACAUGCAAGUCGAGCGGGGUGAUGGUGCUUGCACUAUCACUUAGCGGCGGACGGGUGAGUAAUGCUUAGGAAUCUGCCUAUUAGUGGGGGACAACAUCUCGAAAGGGAUGCUAAUACCGCAUACGUCCUACGGGAGAAAGCAGGGGAUCACUUGUGACCUUGCGCUAAUAGAUGAGACUAAGUCGGAUUAGCUAGUUGGUGGGGUAAAGGCCUACCAAGGCGACGAUCUGUAGCGGGUCUGAGAGGAGGAUCCGCCACAGUGGGACUGAGACACGGCCCAGACUCCUACGGGAGGCAGCAGUGGGGAAGAUUGGACAAUGGGGGGAACCCUGAUCCAGCCAUGCCGCGUGUGUGAAGAAGGCCUUAUGGUUGUAAAGCACUUUAAGCGAGGAGGAGGCUCUUUUGGUUAAUACCCAAGAUGAGUGGACGUUACUCGCAGAAUAAGCACCGGCUAACUCUGUGCCAGCAGCCGCAGUAA
rnacentral:rRNA from 1 species